rnacentral:rRNA from 1 species
CAGCACCUCAAGUGGUCAGGAUGAUUAUUGGGCCUAAAGCAUCCGUAGCUUGCUUUGUAAGUUCUCGGUUAAAUCCAUACGCUUAACGUAUGGGCUGCCGGCAAUACUGCAAAGCUAGGGAGUGGGAGAGGUAGACGGUACUCGGUAGGAAGGGGUAAAAUCCUUUGAUCUAUUGAUGACCACCUGUGGCGAAGGCGGUCUACCAGAACACGUCCGACGGUGAGGGAUGAAAGCUGGGGGAGCAAACCGGAUUAGAGACCCGAGUAGUCC